CCCCCUAAACACCCCACAAGAAAUCACCAAGUAAAUCUCCGACUCUGGCCGACCCCUAUAAUCUUUCCUUUUCUUUCCAAUAUCAGAGAUGGAGAGCUGUGGCAUGAAAGUAGUCAUCAGUAGGAGAGAGAAAGUUUAGAUCAAAUGACAGUAGCUGCCGGUAAGUGGAGAAUGGCACCAUCGUCGAUAACUGAGGAGCUAGAGUCACUAUGGCAGCUCUAGCUUUGGACGUAGGGGGUGGCAGCAGCUUAGCCAACCACUGC
rnacentral:lncRNA from 1 species